GACGAACGCUGGCGGCGUGCUUAACACAUGCAAGUCGAGCGGUAAGGCCCUUUCGGGGGUACGACGAGCGGCGAACGGGUGAGUAACACGUGGGUGACCUGCCCUUAGCUCUGGGAUAAGCCUGGGAAACUGGGUCUAAUACCGGAUAUGACUCCAUAACGCAUGUUGUGGGGUGGAAAGCCUUGUACGGCUAGGGAUGGGCCCGCGGCCUAUCAGCUUGUUGGUGGGGUGAUGGCCUACCAAGGCGACGACGGGUAGCCGGCCUGAGAGGGCGACCGGCCACACUGGGACUGAGACACGGCCCAGACUCCUACGGGAGGCAGCAGUGGGGAAGUCUUGCGCAAUGGGCGAAAGCCUGACGCAGCGACGCCGCGUGGGGAU
rnacentral:rRNA from 1 species